rnacentral:rRNA from 1 species
UAUGUUUAACGGCCGCGGUAUUUUAACCGUGCGAAGGUAGCGCAAUCACUUGUCUCUUAAAUGGGGACCUGUAUGAAUGGCAUAACGAGGGCUUAACUGUCUCCUUUUUCAAGUCAAUGAAAUUGAUCUUCCCGUGCAGAAGCGGGAAUAAUAACAUAAGACGAGAAGACCCUAUGGAGCUUUAGACACCAAGGCAGAUCAUGUUAAACACCCCCAAAUAAAGGGCUAAACCAAAAGAAACCUACCCUAAUGUCUUCGGUUGGGGCGACCGCGGGGAAACAAAAAUCCCCCACGUGGAACGGGAGAAUUCCUAUUUCUCACCUCCUAAAACUAAGAGCCCCCGCUCUAGUAAACAGAAUUUCUGACCAAAAAUGAUCCGGCAAUGCCGAUCAACGGACCAAGUUACCCUAGGGAUAACAGCGCAAUCCUCUUUUAGAGCCCAUAUCGACAAGGGGGUUUACGACCUCGAUGUUGGAUCAGGACAUCCUAAUGGUGCAGCCGCUAUUAAGGGUUCGUUU